CCUACGGGCGGCAGCAGUAGGGAAUCUUCCACAAUGGGCGAAAGCCUGAUGGAGCAACGCCGCGUGGGUGAAGAAGGUCUUCGGAUCGUAAAACCCUGUUGUUAGAGAAGAAAGUGCGUGAGAGUAACUGUUCACGUUUCGACGGUAUCUAACCAGAAAGCCACGGCUAACUACGUGCCAGCAGCCGCGGUAAUACGUAGGUGGCAAGCGUUAUCCGGAUUUAUUGGGCGUAAAGGGAACGCAGGCGGUCUUUUAAGUCUGAUGUGAAAGCCUUCGGCUUAACCGGAGUAGGGCAUUGGAAACUGGGAGACUGGAGUGCAGAAGAGGAGAGUGGAACUCCAUGUGUAGCGGUGAAAUGCGUAGAUAUAUGGAAGAACACCAGUGGCGAAAGCGGCUCUCUGGUCUGUAACUGACGCUGAGGUUCGAAAGCGUGGGUAGCAAACAGGAUUAGAUACCCGAGUAGUC
rnacentral:rRNA from 1 species